rnacentral:rRNA from 1 species
UUUAAAUGGCCGCAGUAUACUAACUGUGCAAAGGUAGCAUAAUCAUUAGUCUUUUAAUUGAAGGCUGGUAUGAAUGGUUGGACGAGAUAUUAACUGUUUCAUAAAAAUUUAUAAUAGAAUUUUAUUUUUUAGUCAAAAAGCUAAAAUAAAUUUAAAAGACGAGAAGACCCUAUAAAUCUUUAUAUUUAGAUUAUUAUAAUUAUUUUGAUUUAUUUUGUUAUAAUAAUUAAUAAUAUUUUAUUGGGGUGAUAUUAAAAUUUAAUAAACUUUUAAUUUUUUAAAAUCAUUAAUAUAUGAAUAAUUGAUCCGUUAUUAACGAUUAAAAAAUCAAGUUACUUUAGGGAUAACAGCGUAAUUUUUUUGGAGAGUUCAUAUCGAUAAAAAAGAUUGCGACCUCGAUGUUGGAUUAANAUAUAAUUUUAGGUGUAGCCGCUUAAAUUUUAAGUCUGUUCGACUUUUAAAUUCU